GUUAUAAAACUUGUUGUUCUAUUGAUUAAUGAAUGAAGUUUCGAUACAUAUAUAUACAUGAAGAGGGGAGACAAAUCCCCAUAGGGCUAGUAAACCCUAAAGCCCAAAAGCCCACUAAGUACAAUAUAGGCCGUCAUAAGGAGAGUCUUCUAGAACAUGGGCAUGGGCCUUCUAGGACAUGGACAUAGGCUUCUAGAAUAUGGAUAAGGCCCACGGUUAUGGAGUCCAUCCAACAUGUGAUUUAUAACACUCCCCCUUGGAUGACAUAACCGUGUAGAUGCCAAAGGAUCUCAGUAAUACGCUUGGGGGAUGCUGCCUCAUUAAAACCUUACCAGGAAAACCCAUUGGGACAAAACCACGGUGAAGGAAAAAGAGUACAGCACGUAUUACUCCCCCUGAUUUGGUCAUCCCUGUAAGUCCUUAAGUCUCCGCGUCCCAAUCUGGUGCGUGAGCUUCCUCAAUGUUGAUGUCGGUAAUGCCUUGGUAAAGAGAUCGGCUGAGUUGUCGCUGGAUCGAACUUGUACCACUCGAACUUCUCCAUCCCUUUGCAAGUCAUGCGUGAAGAAGAACUUUGUUAAGAUGUGCUUCGUCCGAUCUCCCUUGAUGUAGCCGUCCUUGAGCUGAGCGAUACAGGCUGUGUUGUCUCCUCAUAUGAUGGUCGUUGAUGUUGUAGUAGCUGCGCCUUGAAGAAGGCUGCCUACGUACCCUUGGAAGGGAUCAAGCCACACGUAGUUCCUAUUUAUUGACCAUGCCAUAAUCUGAUUUUACCUGCAUCAGCAAAACAAAC
rnacentral:lncRNA from 1 species